AGCAACCUGCCCUUGACUCUGGAAUAACAGUUGGAAACAGCUGCUAAUACCGGAUAUGACCUCGAUCGACAUCGAUCUUGGUGGAAAGCUCCGGCGGUCAAGGAUGGGCUCGCGGCCUAUCAGCUUGUUGGUGAGGUAACGGCUCACCAAGGCUUCGACGGGUAGCCGGCCUGAGAGGGCGACCGGCCACACUAGGACUGAGACACGGCUCAG
rnacentral:rRNA from 1 species